GACGAACGCUGGCGGCGUGCUUAACACAUGCAAGUCGAACGGAAAGGCCCUGCCUUUGUGGGGUGCUCGAGUGGCGAACGGGUGAGUAACACGUGAGUAACCUGCCCUUGACUUUGGGAUAACUUCAGGAAACUGGGGCUAAUACCGGAUAGGAGCUCCUGCUGCAUGGUGGGGGUUGGAAAGUUUCGGCGGUUGGGGAUGGACUCGCGGCUUAUCAGCUUGUUGGUGGGGUAGUGGCUUACCAAGGCUUUGACGGGUAGCCGGCCUGAGAGGGGGACCGGCCACAUGGGGACUGAGAUACGGCCCAGACUCCUACGGGAGGCAGCAGUGGGGAAUAUUGCACAAUGGGCGGACGCCUGAUGCAGCAACGCCGCGUGCGGGAUGACGGCCUUCGGGUUGUAAACCGCUUUCGCCUGUGACGAAGCGUGAGUGACGGUAAUGGGUAAAGAAGCACCGGCUAACUACGUG
rnacentral:rRNA from 1 species